rnacentral:rRNA from 1 species
AUGGGCACAUCAAUAAGGGCAUGGAGCCCAUCAAAGAGGAGGUCGGAGCGGCGUUGGACCUGGAUCAACUCAUCUAAAUCAAGCGGCCGGCUACGGCUGGGAGUCCCCAACGCUCCACCUGGACGGCGUCGGCUGGGAGCUGCGACAGCUCCACAUGCAAUGGCUGGCCGGGGACCAGACCUCGACAGGAACGUGUUGCCCUUUGAGUCGGUGUUCUUUGACCUCGAGAAUGGCAACCAGGAGCUCAAGAGCGACGUCAAGGACCUCUACAUCAACCUCGGGCAAGUAAAGACAUGUUUGAAGUGGAAAUGGAGAGCAGCACACGCAGCGGUGGUCAAGGGCUUAGUGCCUGUUGACCUCGUCAGUGGCCGUUGUUGGUCGGUGAAGGAGGCAUGCAUGAGGUGGUGCAAGGGCAUGCUGGUGACGGAGUCGCGCAUCAUGAGGCCGGGUGAGUAA